rnacentral:lncRNA from 1 species
UCGUGGUCGCACAAAAGACCACCCCCAUAACCAUCCAGAGAAAGGUACGAAGUGGAAGGUUAUGUUUGAUAACACAAACCAAGCCACGGAUGAAAUGGCGAAGAAGUUAACGACAAGAAUGGCUCUUUUAGCAAAAGACCAUACUCUUUUUCCGUACGACAUUGAGUGGCGUCAUCAACCACAACAGAAUUUCCAAGACGCGCUAAAAAUAUUAACUG